GGGGGUGUACCGGUUUCGACGGGGAUGAGGAAGCGGGAUCAGCGGGCGGUGGCGCCUGGCCACCUUAAAACGGGCAUUCUUUAUAAAUUAAAGAACAACAAUAAUUACGCACUUGCUGCCUGAUUAACGGCAGCCGUCCGACCUGAGAGGACUGCGGCUCAGGAAGGGCGUCGUUUAGCAGUGAACGUGAGUACAGAAAGAGUUGACUGUGCCAUGCAUCAUGACUCUUACCUGACCGGUGGGCGCGGCGGUUUGCCUGCCGGGAGGGGAACUGGACGGCAACGCCGUCCGCAAUAGCCGCCUGCGCCCGGAGAACAUCCCGUGAAAUCGUUUUCGGACAGGGGUUCGACUCCCCUCACCUCCACCA
rnacentral:tmRNA from 1 species